UUACAUAAACAAGUGAGUCCAAAAGUUCUUACUCCUCAGUCAUUGCAAAUGCAAGAUGAUCAAUAACAAAAAUGUGCGAGUUUUACACACUUUAGUGAACCAAAAGAAGAGGAAAUUUGGAUAAUGAGGAGCACUUGUAGGUAGACAAGAAAGAUAAUUUAUCAAGCACCAGUUCAUCAGAUAAGCUUCAGAAUGUCUCAACUCAGGAUAUGAGCUGAAAUUGUUUACCUACCUACAGUUGUUUAAAAAGAUGGACACUGAUUUACCAUCAAGAGAAACAUAUCAACUAUACAUAUAUAAUUGCAAUACAAGCGCAUCCGAUUAUCAACAAAAUCACAUUGUUUGCUGAGUACACAUGUAAUAUACUCACUCAAACACCCAGUACACGCUGCACUCGACUAAUGCCCCUUUUAAGAGUAAUGAAGGGGGUUGAACUUAGAUGCGGAGGAGUAGAAGUGAACAGCUUGUUUUCAAUUGGAUUCACUGGCAUUGGGCUGGCAAAGACAGUAGGUUCCUGCAUAAAAGAACAAUGCAAGUUAGUGAAAAAAAAAAUCAGUUUAAAAAUUUGAAUUUACCAAGUAAAAGCAGCAUACACUUCAACCUGCACAUCAUUGCUUUUACUAGAAGGGUUGUAAUUCUCCUUUGAAGCCAAUGCCAUUACAGGUUCCACCAUGGGGACACUGCUAACAGUUUUCAAUUGACAAGCAAGGGGAUCAAUGUUUUCAGCAUUCCUUUUUGCUGGUACUGGUGUUCUCGUGUGCUGAGAAAGCUCCCUGUUGUUUAUACAAAGAGUAAAUAUGUUCUGAAUUCUUAACCUUCUGGAGGACUCUGUGUCUUCAGGUUUCUGGGGGGAAGAUGCCAAUAACCCUGUAGUAAGAUUGAGACUGGGAAUAUUUCCAUCAGCUAACCCACUUGAACAGACCCUUUUCUCCUCUAUUAUAACCUUCUCUACUUCAUCUUCAGCACUUUCUUUAUGAUCGUCCUCCUUGUCUUAUAACACCAAACCUUCGUCCUGCUAACAAAUUGACCCUUGUUACAAAACACAAGAACGUACGAUAUCAAUAUCAUUAAAUUAAACAAUAAGCACCAUAAGUGCCAAAUUUUGUAGCUACGCUGUUACCGAUCAUGCAAAUCAAAAUGGAAAUUACCGAAGAAUGUAUUAAGAACAAGCUGAAUCCCUCACAAAACGUCCAUAUAUUCACCAUUUAACCAUGACCAACUUUUUCGUUUGAGGCAAAUGAAAAAAAGAGACAGAAAGUUAAAAAGGAUAAAAAUUGAAAGCCGAGGGCAGUAAUUUGGAAGACGACAGCAUUUUUUAUCUCUUUUUAACAAGUAGGCUGGUGGGCCUCUCGUUUGCAUUUUUCCCGGCCAUUGGAGAAUUGAAAUCCCCAUUAAAUAAUAAAAAAAGUAAAAAUAGAAAUACAAUUAAAAAAAAAAAAAAAACAAUCUCCAUGUAACAAACGAUGAUGUCACGAGCUCGCAACACUUGUUGUUAUAAUACCUAUGGUCUCAAACCAACAAAGUGUUGGUUCCACUGGCAAUGGAGUCCCCUUAAGUAGCUUGACUGGGUUUGCUCCCCAGUUCGAGUCGCAGGGAAGUCGCCUUUGUUGGGAGAACCUGUGCCUCCCGGUUCGAGCGGGGACUUCUAGUCUGGGUUGUGGUACGGGCUUAAAGGUGCCUCCCACAGUUGGGGCCCUCCCCAGGAUACCUCGUGAUUAAUAUCAAAAAAAUAAUACCUAUGGUCUCACAAGGCCAAUAUCCUUUUAUUAGUUUGUUUUUCUUCUUAUACAGUCAAUACAAACAUCAAAGUCUAUAAAAUUUAAGAGUUUAAAAUUUCGUCUAACACAAAUCUCUUUAUUUUUUUAGGAUAUGAUCUAAUCUCUUGUGUUAUAAUACAGCUGAAUUUACAUUAGCUAAUUUUCUCCUUAUACCUCAUAUACUUAACUGUUGGAAUUCAUUAAAUAAAGCAAUCAUAUUAUCCAAAUAAAAAGAAAAGUUAAAUUUGUCCAAAGCAGCAUUGGAAAUAAAAUUCCACCUAAAAGACACAUUUCAUCAAGAUUCAUAUAAAAUUCAGUUUUUAAUAAUAACAUAAGUUUUCUAUUGCUUCAACUUCAACCGUUUUGUAUGGAUCAUAAAUGUAUUGUCUAUCAUAAAUGUAUAUUUCACAAUCACUUGCCCUUCAGCAACUUAAGCAACAGACUGAUGUGAGUAGGGAUAGUCGCCACUACACCGCACUGGUCAACUCCCAGUUGAACUUGCAAGCUUGGGUUCGCGUCCCAGUCCCACAGGCAGUGGAAGUAAGUAAUUACCCUAAUCAGCUGAAGUAUCAAAACCUGUGUAUAAGCCUGCAGAUUACAAGUUAAUCAUCAGCAAAGGAGGGGGCUGAAGCAAGAAACAACAUAUCAUGUACUAAUUAUAAAACAUGUAAAAUUAAUGUAUUUUGCCAGUCACAAAACCCGUUUUCUUUAGAGAUAACCACCCCAUAGCAACUAUAAAUAAGGGCACAAAAAUGACCACAAAGUACAACAGUCCCCUCUUUUUUCUCCAAACAAAUACAACCAUUUCAGUUCACAUUGAACCAUUCAAGUUCCAAGUUUCAACCAAUGAAACAACCAUAGUAUUCUAAUAAAAAUGAAAAAUGAAAUAACCAUAGAAUAAAAUAAUUAUACGCUAAUUCAAAUAUUGCUUCAGAAUUUACGAUUUAUGCCAGACUCAGUUGCUCAAACAUAUGGAAUUGGAAUGUUGCAUUUAUUUAACCCAAAAGGUGAAUGCCAAGCUUAAGGUUCUUACAUACUGAAAUGAUCAAAUUUCAUUCAUUCUGAACAUGGGAUGCAACUAGAACUAUUUCAAGUUAUUCCAGAAGAGAGUACUAAAAGAAAUUUUUUCAUCCUACGUGGUAUAAGUAGUAUACUUCAGCUAGUAUUAUGCAUCAUCGGUUAAAUCAUUUGGAUUAUUAACACUGAUAUUUUUUUUAUUAGCUGAAUUGAUAACUGUUGCACCCCUAACUUAAGGGCACGUGUGAUAAGAAAAUUUUAUCUACAUCAGGUGCAAGUAUAAGCAUUUAACAAUUAAGCUGUGACUGUUUGCUUACAAGAACAAACAUAUACUAAUAGAGAUGAAUAAAAACCCAGCACUUCAAGAAAAAUUUGACAAUAUCUCCCCUAAAAUAUGGAUAUUAUCCAAUAUACCAAACCAGCAAUUUUAAUACCCUGCAGCUUAAAACUUCAAAAUAUCAGUCAAUACAACACUUGGGGUCUCCGGGACCCUAUCACUACAACACUAACAAAUACAAGUGCAUCCUCCUGAUGUUGCGUAGUCAUUCUAAAUACAUGUAUUAAAAAGUAUGAUAUCUGCAACAAGGUAGCUUACAAAGUUUACUAGGCCAGCAAUGCCGAAGUACAACCAGAACAAUAACAAAAAUAUACAAAGAUAUAUAUAUUUCUUUAAACCUUUUAAGUUUGAAAGUUUUGGUAUUCAACAGAAACAUCAUAAGACAAGAUCAUAACAACAUACACACUAACAAAUAUAGGGUUGCUCAUACUUUCUGAAGUUACGUGUAAAGAAUCCUAAAAUUACUCUUUCAAUAAUACAAAAUAAAAACAUGCCUGACAAGUCCCCCGGGGCCACCGCCCAUGAUUUCUUUUGCAGACUUUAGAAAUCUGAACAAUAUCAAUUCAGCAUAGCGUACUUUUGAGGCAUUAUUCCCAAGGACCCUCGCCCAUAAUUUCCUUUCCGAGCUUCACUGCAGGACAGUAGUCUGACCAUGACCAAUCAACCUUCUCAAACCUCAAUUUGAAUGAAAGGAAUAAAAAUUAUUAACUCAUUCAAUAGCAUCAAUGUAAGUUUCCUUACAAUAACACACCACAUCCAUGAUAUUUCUCAAUAACAAUAGCCAUAGAUAACAGAAUCUCAGCACAUCCCCAGUUUAACACCACAUCCACAAACUUAAAUGCAAUCAAAGCACCAUAUCAUUGCAGGAUACAUUAACACAAUUCAGCACCACUACAUAUUCCAAACUUGGCUCAUAUCGCCGUAAAGUUCAAUUCUCAUUCAUGACUGCAUCAACCCAAAUUAACUGAUUCAAGUAAUUUCAAUACAUGGUCUUCAAUUAAAACUCGCAAUCCUGUGAUAAUUCUAGCAUGUCAAUUUUUUAUUUUAGCCAUGUAGCCAUGUAAUUAAAUGGCUAACCACACACCCACUGCAUUAAUUCUUAAAGGAAGCAAUUAAGCCAUUAACACAUUAAAUCUAUGGAAAACAACUUAUAAGGACCCAAAAUAAAAAUUCAGAUUAUCAAGCAAGAAAAACAACCUGAUUUUUCAGUUUUGAGUAACAAAAUCACUCAAUUGCAUAUAACCACAUACCUUAAAUCCUGCACCAACAGCUCCUAGCUCUCCAAACACUUCUCUAACUCCACUUCCUACUGGUAAUACUGCAACAAAAAUUAACCAACUAUUCUGCCAAUAAUUUAAGGAUCCCAAAUUCAACACAAUCCUAAACUUGCUGAAAGUUACAGCA
rnacentral:lncRNA from 1 species